UGCGCAAAAAAAAAAAAAAAAAAAAAAAAAAAAAAAG
rnacentral:ribozyme from 13 species